GUCCCCGUAGGCUAACGGAGAAACCGAGUGGCUACGACCCACUUGAUGCGCGUUCAAGUCGCGCCGGGGAUA
rnacentral:tRNA from 2 species